UUUGCGUCAAAUUGGAACUUCUAAAACAUCCAGCACUGGGAACUAUCAGUGUGAGACAGCCAUUGUUGGACUACAAAAACCACGUCAUGGCUUCCUGGCCUCAGAGAGGAUGCAGCAGGGUGAGGGGAAGGGCGUGUGAUUCUGUAACUGGACCAGUGCAUGAACUCAAGGUCGAGGUCUAGCUAUGGGACGCAUGACAACUGGAAAGCAGUGCCCCACCCAGGCUGCUUGAAGCUGCAUCCACCAACCAAACCGGGCAAGGGCCAGAGUUGUCAGUCUGUGGAUCGGAAGAGAUUCAUGCUACAGGAUGACAGAGUGUGUCUGAUCAACUCCAAGUUUCUGGCAUCCGUCACCUGCCUGACUUCACAUACCUGCCCAUCACUUUGUCUUCGCGUGCACCCACAGAUAUUACCACUGAGGUAACAAUAAACAUCUGAUCUUACAGA
rnacentral:lncRNA from 1 species